GACGAACGCUGGCGGCGUGCCUAAUACAUGCAAGUAGAACGCUGAAGGAGGAGCUUGCUUCUCUGGAUGAGUUGCGAACGGGUGAGUAACGCGUAGGUAACCUGCCUGGUAGCGGGGGAUAACUAUUGGAAACGAUAGCUAAUACCGCAUAAUAGUAGAUGUUGCAUGACAUUUGCUUAAAAGGUGCAAUUGCAUCACUACCAGAUGGACCUGCGUUGUAUUAGCUAGUUGGUGGGGUAACGGCUCACCAAGGCGACGAUACAUAGCCGACCUGAGAGGGUGAUCGGCCACACUGGGACUGAGACACGGCCCAGACUCCUACGGAAGGCAGCAGUAGGGAAUCUUCGGCAAUGGACGGAAGUCUGACCGAGCAACGCCGCGUGAGUGAAGAAGGUUUUCGGAUCGUAAAGCUCUGUUGUAAGAGAAGAACGAGUGUGAGAGUGGAAAGUUCACACUGUGACGGUAUCUUACCAGAAAGGGAUGGCUAACUACGUGCC
rnacentral:rRNA from 1 species